UUUUUCUGAAAGCACAGCAUGGUUUGUGGUAUGAGACUUAAGUUUCAGAGCUGUGCGCCCCUGUGCGCAUGUCCAUUUCCGGUUAUGGCGCAUUUACCGGAAGCAAGCGGUCAAAGCCGCAGACCCAGGGCUCUCACGGAAGGUUGACUCUAACGUUGAUUUCGACUGUCUUAGGUGGUGUCUGGCAGUGAAGUUGGUGGCAGUUUGAAAAGAGGUACCCUCGGUCACCAAGACUUUGUUGGCCACCAGGGUACCAGAUAAUCAUCUUACCCAGCCAGACCAGCUCAGCAAACGCAGUUUUCAUGUCUGUACACCUCCUCCUCACUGCUGCGUCAUUGAUAAGAAGCUCUCUCAGUAGACUUGACCAAAAAUCUUUGAGACGAUCCAGACUGUACAAGCACAAGUUUACAAGUAAAGAAAGGACAAUCCUCAAAAAGAAAGUCUUGGAUUGUGGCCAACUGUCCUCCACUGAGAAUCAAAUCAGGUCUUUGCUGAGUUCUACAGAGUUGCCAGUAAGAACCUUAAGAAAGAGUUCUACGAAGCUCUUGACCACCACACCACUCGUCUCAUUGACCUCUUCAAAUCCAGAAAAGGAGUUGUCGGCCCAUCACUUGGUCACCUCCUCCAGCCAAUCAAUUCACAAACCAAUGACAUCACCACGACACGCACUGUUGUCCUGCAAUGUCUGCCCCUGUAUCUUGGAGAUAAUUCCAGUGAAUUCUUCCUCAGCUGCUCAGAUUCAGACACUGCAGAUGACUUCACUCAGGUGCCUGUUGGGGUUCUUAACGUCAUGACCAGCGACAUGCCACCACUGAUUAACAGCGUUGCAAUCAUCCUUGAAGGAAACCUCAUCAUGGAUGACAUUCCUACAACCUCUCAAGCACUUUGUCUUCUCUUUGGCUUAAUAUAUGCACUUCAUCUGGAUUACCCCAAAGGUUUCCCAGAGACUAUGGGGUUGAGGAGGAAUUGGAAGUUUGUCAGCUUAGACCUGGUGUCAUUCCAUCAGUGUUAAACUUCCCGGCUCAUCUUGGAAGAGUACGUGCCAGAAAGACCACGACCAAGCAGCCUUGAGAUCUUAGGCAGCGUCUCCCUGAGUUCAAAGGUCCCUCUCUAUCUCCCCACACAUCCACCAACCACUGGAACACAUCUCCAAAGUUCUGCCGGGCCAGCUCAGCUUCCCCUCAGAAGAAGUGCUGCCACCUGCCAGAUGAAGGAGCCUUUUGAGAGGCAGCUGGCAUCGUGAUUGGACUGUACUUUGGUCUGUUCCAAUCCAGCUUCAGCUCCAGAGACGGCAGGCGGGACGAGUCAACGGAGGCCGGGUGGACGAAGGCAUGCAGCUGAGUACAAUCCAGAAAACAACAGAGGAGGAGUGCAGGGCCAGAACAACCAGAGUAGCAUCGUAUGUCUCUUAGAAAACAUCAUAGUAUAGCCUUUGGUAUGAAAAAACGCCAUCAUAUACAUCGUAUAUUGUACAAAUAACAAGUCAAAGGAAAGAGACAUACAUUGUAGAAUUGUAGUAAUUGUGGGCUGACUGAUUUACUGAUUAUCAGUAUUUUAUUUUUUACUGAUUUACGGUAAUAAAUACAUUUAAAAAUGG